GUGCUUGCUUUGGCAGCACAUAUGCUAAAAUUGGAACAGUACAGAAAUUAGCAUGACCCCUGCACAAAGAUGACACGCAAAUUCAUGAAGCAUUCCAUAUUUUU